AUUCUUAAAUCUAUAGUUUCAAUUUAAUAAAAAUAUUACCAUGCGAUAGCUACUUAUACAGUAAUAGAAAUAAACACAAAAUACAAUUAGAGCUUAUCCAAAAUAAAUUCAGUUCUAAAGUUGUAACACAUGUGUUUUUACCAAGUAAACAAAAGAUUCUGUUUCUGAUGAAUUUUUCUUAGACAUCUGGGAUACAUAUCUUUUAAAACUGGAAUCGGAAAACUUCUCAACAAUGUCACAAACAAUUGCAUCUAGCAACUUUAAAAGUAAGAUACCCCGAAACUAUUCAAUGACUGGUUACUCACAAAACACUGAAAAGGGGAGACACUUCAUUGCUGUAAAAUACAAACCUUCUAAAAAUUAAUGUGUAUACAGACACACCUGACUUCUAAAGAGGAAUGAGCUUUUAAAAUAUAUAGAGAGAAACAAGCUAAGUCUUCCUGCCUGGUUUUCUUUGAUCAAGCCUAUUCUAUUCAGGCUGCUUUCCAAAUACAUUUUAAUCCCGAAGACAUAGGUAUUAAAAUAUUAAAGCUUCUUUGAUCCUUGAAUAGAGGCUCCUGCCAUGUGAGCCUCAUAAUGGGAGCCUUCUAGAUGUGGGUGCUUACUUCCUAUACUGACUUGGAGAGAGACGUCCUUGUUUCUAAAGAUAUGGUAAUUUUCUUUCCAAAACUAGGAGUUUUUGAUGUACUGAAAUUUGCUUUCAAAUGCCUUAAAAAUAAAAAUUCAUUUCUAUUACUAUUAAAAAUAGUUUCCAACAAAAGUCAGAGAAAAACAUAUGACACCACAGGUUUUAUUAAUGGUAAAUGUUUGCGUUUAUUUUAAAAAGCUUAGUUACUACUAAGCACUUUUUAAACAAAACUAAUAAGCAAGAAUAAUUUUCCAUACAGAAAUUUUAUCCAUAAACAAGAUUUAAAUUUAUUCCAACAUUGAAAGCUAAGAAGAAUUGGAGAAAAUACAAAGCAAAACACUUCUGAGUCACCUGCUUUCUCCUUUUUGAAUAUACUGUACUUGGAAUGGCAGACAUAUACUGAAGAAGACAGAAAAACGUGCAUUUAGUCUACAUAUCAGCAUUAAGAAUGACAUGCAAUUCAUGAUUUCAUUUUCACUAAUGUUUUUACCUGAACCACUAAACAAAGGGUUUGGCCUGGUCUGGUUUCCACUUGAGAGGAAGAUGAUCUGCUUCCCAGACACCAAGUGUGCUCCUCCCUUUCCCCAACAGUUAUUAAGGUGACUGCACACUCAGCAAACACUAUUCUUUUGUCCCAGACACCAAGUGUGUUCUCCCCUUUCCCCAACAGUUAUUAAGGUGACUGCACACUCAGCAAACACUAUUCUUUUGUCCCAAACAGUGCCACGGCCUUGAAUAAUCACUUUAAAAAAAAAAAAAAAAAAACAGAAGCAAAAGCCAGGUAUCAAGUGCAAAUGUAGAACACUUCCCUUAAAGAAUUAUGCAAACCCAGCACACAAGCAGAGCCACUUGCCGCACACUUGGCCGUAUGACAGGAACGUGGGUAUUGUGUGUGCAUGCAGAGCCGCUGUCGCGCGUGUUUAGCUCUGUGAUUAGGAACAUCCACAUCAUGACCCAGUGCACUAAAAGUUGCCUACUACAAGGUUUUAAGUGUUGCCAAGUUAGUAAUUCUUUCAAGGCACUGAAAAAUUAUGCAGAUGGAGUUUCCAAAAUAUAUUAAUAAUUGCUUAAACUGUUAAAAAGCCCUGAGUCAGAACUUUCAGUAGCUUCCUGAAACUGUACACUCAAGACAAAAUGGCGUAUUUGCUUAUUUCAUAAAAAAAUUAGAAGACCACUUUGCUUUUGAGGAAAGAAGCCAUGUUCAUGAGAUAAAAGCCAAAAAACUAUACAGGUCAAUUCAAAUCCUCAGCACUAUUAGCCUUCUUAGACAAUUUGCACACAGAAAUUCAUACUUUUAGAUUCAGGCACCAAAUUAAUGCAACAGGUCCCUUUUCCUGUACCUAUUGCUUAAGUUCUCAAAAACAGAAAAUCUAACUUUAACCUCAGGUUACUUCCGUUUUACCCACAAACAAGAUGAGAUGCCAGGGUUGGGGGGCAAUAUUCUGAUAGAAAAGGAGGUAGAAAAUGUGAAAAUAGCAACUUAACUUUAUUAACUAUCCACUCAUAUUUUUAUGCUGUGAUUUGACCCCACUACAAGCUACUAAAUCAGCCACUGAAGCUCAGUGCAAAGGAGUUCUUCAUUGUAAAGUAACAUAUGCACAAAACAACAUUAAACAGCUUCCUCACACUUAAUGUUUAAAAACAUACAACCGUAAUUAUCAAUACUGCGAUUGUGUGUGUGUGUGUGUUAAAGUCAAAAGGUAUUACACGAUUAUCAAGUAAUGUAAGUAAGCAUUCCUAUGUGACAGUCAAACAAGUUAAAUUAGGCGACAUUUUGAAAGAAAAAUGUAUUCUGAAACUUUGACAGGUAAGACUCAAUGAUGAGUGAGACUUAACAAGGCACAAAUUACGUAUGAAAAUCUAUUUCCUUCCCAAUUAGUACAAAACCAAAGCUAACUUAUUUCUCAUACUUAAAUGUAUUUGCCCCCUUUGACUCACAAUGAAGUUAUAAACACUUUCAAUUAACAUACAUGUAGAAGUAACAAUUAUGGAGAGAGAGCCGCCCUUCCCUCAAAUGUCAGAAACCUGCUAUCUACCUAAGUUUGGAUCUUGCAAACAUAAAUGCUAGCUCUCUCUGUUCUCAGAACCACUGCACAAAGGAAAGGAAGAAGGGAGUAGAUGGUGGGUGUGGCAUUCCAACUGUGCAGGAUCAACCUGUUUCCCAACCAAGUGAGCGGAAGUGACACCCUGAAUUGCACAUUUAGAAGCAGGCAGGAUAACAAACCGUAUGAUAUGUGGUUCUUACUGCAAUUUAAAAAAAUUCCAAAACAUGUGUCAUGUGAGUCCGUUUUUUAUAAAAAUUACUAUAAACAUUCCAGACACUUUAAAAGGAUGUUUUUAGACAUUAAAAAAAGCAAGCUGUAUUAAAAUCUGUAAUUUAUAAAAUAACUGUCAAGACGCAUGAAAUCUGACCUAAUAGAUGCCUUUUAUGUUUAGUUAAACAUACCCUCUCCACCACGGCUGCAGUAAGUUGCACAGAAUACUCCUUUUCUCUGGGGUUACUGUAUGUUUCCUAUUUGAGUACGGCACCAGCUUUGCUCCAGCCAGCUCUGUCCUAUUCACAAGUUUAACUAUGCCUAGUUCAAAAGUGUCCAGAAUUCAAAAUAAACAAAGAACAUCCACCAGGCAACGUAUGACUAGCCAAGAUGUUCCCAUGUUUAAAAAUGACCCAGCAAGGUUUGAGUUUUGAAUUAGACAAAUCUUAAGCAGCAUGCAUUUCAGCAUUCUAAAAUAAAAUGCUAUUGCAGACUAAAAUCAGCAAAAAUAUAAGUUUAGGAAGUUAUUUCCAGUUAAUUUUAUGUUUCAGUAGACUUCCGCUUAAUUUGCCAUUAUUAAAUUACAAAUACCUUAAGCAUAAUUCGGGCAACUAAACACUUGCCUAGUUUAAUACUCUUAUACUAAUAUAAAACUAUCUCUCUUGAAAACCUUGCUCCCAAUAAAAUUAUGUAUGUCUACAGCACAGAUAAGAUGUCAACCUAUGUGAACAAGUGCAACUGUGCUAGCACCAUCCGGAAAGCUGUAUGUAUUCAGAGCGAAGGAGAAAACGUGGUGAGGCGAGAGGUAUAGAACAGGAUUCCCAAUACUGCUUCCCUUGAAACACCUGCAGGAACACUAAUGGUGCCUCAGGACCCUGGUUUUGUCCACAAAUGACACAAACAACUACAGUGUGAACUCUUAAGUGUGCUAAGACACUGACCUUUUAUUUUUCCUAUCAAGGCCCUAAAGACCAAUGCUUUAAAAAAAAAAAAAAAACAAA